rnacentral:rRNA from 1 species
UAAGAGACAGCAGUAGCCGCGGGAAUACGUAGGUCCCGAGCGUUGUCCGGAUUUAUUGGGCGUAAAGCGAGCGCAGGCGGUCAGAUAAGUCUGAAGUUAAAGGCUGUGGCUUAACCAUAGUACGCUUUGGAAACUGUUUAACUUGAGUGCAAGAGGGGAGAGUGGAAUUCCAUGUGUAGCGGUGAAAUGCGUAGAUAUAUAGAGGAGCACCGGUGGCGAAAGCGGCUCUCUGGCUUGUAACUGACGCUGAGGCUCGAAAGCGUGGGGAGCAAACAGGAUUAGAGACCCCCGUAGUCCCUGUCUCUUAUACA